AGUGAACGCUGGCGGUAGGCCUAACACAUGCAAGUCGAACGGCAGCACAGGAGAGCUUGCUCUCUGGGUGGCGAGUGGCGGACGGGUGAGGAAUACAUCGGAAUCUACUUUUUCGUGGGGGAUAACGUAGGGAAACUUACGCUAAUACCGCAUACGACCUACGGGUGAAAGCAGGGGAUCUUCGGACCUUGCGCGAUUGAAUGAGCCGAUGUCGGAUUAGCUAGUUGGCGGGGUAAAGGCCCACCAAGGCGACGAUCCGUAGCUGGUCUGAGAGGAUGAUCAGCCAGACUGGAACUGAGACACGGUCCAGACUCCUACGGGAGGCAGCAGUGGGGAAUAUUGGACGAUGGGCGCAAGCCUGAUCCAGCCAUACCGCGUGGGUGAAGAAGGCCUUCGUGUUGUAAAGCCCUUUUGUUGGGAAAGAAAUCCAGCUGGUUAAUACCCGGUUGGGAUGACGGUACCCAAAGAAUAAGCACCGGCUAACUUCGUGCCAGCCGCCGCAGUAA
rnacentral:rRNA from 1 species